GUCUGUCUGUCUGUCUUUCUCUCUGACUGUCUCUGUCUCCAUCUGUGUGUGCGUGCGUGUUUGCACGCAGAAGUAUUCAUGACCCUAAAAACACAAACUUAGAUUCUCAGUUCAGUGAAGGAAGUUCACAGGGAGACAGGAAGCUCCUUCGGCUGGAGGACAGAAAGCUGGGGCUCAGAGAGGCUGCAGGAGAGGCCUAAGUGUCCCUGUGGGCAAGCAGCACCAGGGAGGCUGUGACUGCCACCUCUGGCUGCAGGCAGGGUUUGCUGCACCCUCCCUGUCUCCUGCAUCUUCAGACUCCCCGCUGCUUUGCUGCCGUUUCUUUGUUCUGUUUUAUGUAUCUUCAUAAGCUGCCUUAAAUCCUUUCUGAACAAGGCAGGACAUAAAUAGAUAAAUAAAUAAAACCUCCAUGCUGCAAAUUUCAAAGCAUCUUUCCCAGAGCCCUGCUCAUUCCAUGAGAGAGCCAUUCAUAACCACUGACAACUCCCUGUCCAGGCCUGGGUGCAUCUGGGCUCAGAAAAAAUGAGCUUGUUUGGGAGCCGGCUUCAUUGACAUUUACGAUGCGACUUCCAGGUCCUCCCACAAUGCUGCCAGAAGGCAGGCAGUCCCAACCCUGUCCCUGUCCUACAGUGAAUCCACAGACCAAAGUGAGGAAAGGCAGCAUAGCCCAUGCCUCAGGCUCUGCCUGAGGGAACUUGCAAGGGCUAGGAAGGCCACUAGCCCCAGGCUGAGCUCCGGCAUGCAGGUCAAAGGACUCAGGUGUGCCCAGCCAAGCACAAGUUGUGACUCUUGAGGACCUGAUGUGUUACAGUGUCCAAAACACAUGCAGAGAGCUUUUGUCUUAGUUGUGGAUUGCUUGAAAGCAAUUGCCUGCCUUUACCUGAAGAAAAUAGAUUCGGUGCUGCUUAUGUGCUUGGCACGACACACAUGCUCUCUGCUGCAAGCUGGCAGGAUUCCCAAGGCAGAGAAGGCAUCAGCCAGUGUUCACUAUUGAUUUGAGCACUGUAGAGUAGACGCUGGACUCAAAGAGAGCGCCCAUACUUCAGCAUCAAGGGCUUCUAUCUCAUAGCUCAGAGUCACGUGGCUACUGUCAUGCCUGGGCCACUGGGGUUGAAGAGAUUGGAUUCUUGAACACAUAAGGCACAUGGCCUAGGCACCUCGGGUGAGGCAUGGACAUAUUUGCCACCUUGCAGAGAACAAAACGAAUGGCCCCAUUUCCCGGCUCUUCCUAUGAGUGAUGUGUCCCCUUAAGAAGCCUCAUUGACUCCCCCUGUUUGCUCAGAAAGUAUGUUCACAACCCAGGGCUUGCACCCUAAGGCAGAAGCAAGCAAGCAAGCAAGCAAGCAAGCAAGCAAGCAAGCAAGCAAGCAAGCUCUUAUGUGCAUAGCUACAGGGCAGCAGGGAACCUGGAGACAACUGAACAAGCAGGGCUGGAAGGCGGACAGAGGAGUCAAUAGCCUCUCAGGAGACCUCUCAGUAUAAUGCCACUUGGAAGGCUGAGGAUGUGCUGGACGAUAUCCGAGGUUUUGUUGCAAAGGCCCCUUGUGAAAUGGGGAUACGGGGGGAGGGGGAGGUUGGCAGACUUCAGUUCUCAUGGACACAUGAGAACUUUAUACUCACGAUGUUUUUAAAACAGAUCAAGACUCAACAAGAGGCUGGCUUCCCAGACUUGUGCCAGUGAGAUCCUGCCCAGACGAUGAACUAAAGCCUGCUGGCUAACCCCAGCAGCCAGUAACCGGAGUGCCACGCACUGAACAUGCAAGAUAAAAAGUGAUACCUCAUCUAAACUAACCACAAGAAAGUCAAUCAGAUGGAUGCAUGGCUAUUAGGAAAUGUGGCUGCUGAGGCUUCCCUGAAAGGUUCUUCCUUCCAGAUCCUAUUGAUAAACAGCACUCAGGGAGAGAAGCCCAAGGAGGGAAGUCAGGAUGAGAAAUGUCACUCACCAGCAGGGUUUGCUUCAAAUCCACAGGCCUACGAGGAAGAGCUGAUGGAUUUUGAGGUCUUCCUGCAAUGUUCAUUUUGCACCUAAAUGAGGCUCACAUUUGGAGCUAAGAGAUGGAAAUCCCUGUUUCUCUCUGUCUCUGUCUCUCUCACACUCCCUUUCCCCCUCUUACUCUCCCCAGAUUAAAACAGAGUUAUGGCUCUGA